rnacentral:sRNA from 1 species
UUGAUUAUACAAAUCACACAUAAUCCGACACGAUGGUCUGGGUGCUUGCGAAACUAUAAUAAGUUAGCGAGUUGAUCAUUGGGGAUUGUGGAGGCUUAAC